rnacentral:rRNA from 1 species
UACGUAGGGGGCAAGCGUUGUCCGGAUUUAUUGGGCGUAAAGAGCGUGUAGGCGGCUUGGUAGGUCCGCUGUGAAAACUCGAGGCUCAACCUCGAGAUGUCGGCGGAAACCACUUGGCUAGAGUCCGGAAGAGGAGAGUGGAAUUCCUGGUGUAGCGGUGAAAUGCGCAGAUAUCGGGAAGAACACCCGUGGCGAAAGCGGCUCACUGGACCACAACUGACGCUGAGGCGCGAAAGCUAGGGGAGCAAACAGGG